GGUUAGCAGACACAUUCCAGCCAAUCAGCAGCAAACCCUCCCUCCCAGACCCUGCCACCUCCUGGACAGCUCACUAAGAAUGCAGCUUCAAAAUGGAUGCUGUCCAGGAGUUGGGAGGGUCUGGGAGGGAGGGUCUGCUGCUGAUUGGCUGGAAUGUGUCUGCUG